rnacentral:misc_RNA from 1 species
AGAAGAGGCAACUGUAGUGGAUUGCGAUUCAAGUUGUGACAGCAAAUGCCUUAAAGUCUGUACCUCUUCAGUGAAAACAUCCCAGUAGUAGCAGUAUCUUCAGAAAUAUCCACAGCCUCGGAUACAUUAGCUUGUGGUCUAGCAAAACUCAUCUUUUUUCCUCCAUGCCCUUUGGUUGGGCGACCAUGCAGUUUUAAACAGUAUUUCUUAGUAUGUCGGGUGUUUCUACAAUAGUCACAAUGCAGCUAAUCCUUAUCUGAUGGACCAUGUGACUAUUCACGUGAAGAAUUAGCAGUUAACCCUACCUUAUCAACAAACAUAGAAUGAACCAUAACACUCCUUCUGUUCUCUUCCUACUGAACAUAAGAGU